GCCCGGAUGGUGGAAUCGGCAGACACAGCGGACUUAAAAUCCGCAGUUGCGAAAGCGACGUGGGGGUUCAAGUCCCCCUCCGGGCACCA
rnacentral:tRNA from 2 species